UACGGAGGGUGCGAGCGUUGUCCGGAAUCACUGGGCGUAAAGGGCGCGUAGGUGGCUUCUCAAGCGCGCGGUGAAAGCCCGGGGCUCAACCCCGGGUCGGCCGUGCGGACUGGGAGGCUCGAGCACUGUAGGGGCGGGUGGAAUUCCGGGUGUAGCGGUGGAAUGCGUAGAGAUCCGGAAGAACACCGGUGGCGAAGGCGGCCCGCUGGGCCGUACCUGACGCUGAGGCGCGAAGGCUAGGGGAGCGAACGGG
rnacentral:rRNA from 1 species